AAAUUGAAGAGUUUGAUCAUGGCUCAGAUUGAACGCUGGCGGCAGGCCUAACACAUGCAAGUCGAGCGGUAGCACAGAGAGCUUGCUCUCGGGUGACGAGCGGCGGACGGGUGAGUAAUGUCUGGGAAACUGCCUGAUGGAGGGGGAUAACUACUGGAAACGGUAGCUAAUACCGCAUAACGUCGCAAGACCAAAGUGGGGGACCUUCGGGCCUCAUGCCAUCAGAUGUGCCCAGAUGGGAUUAGCUAGUAGGUGGGGUAACGGCUCACCUAGGCGACGAUCCCUAGCUGGUCUGAGAGGAUGACCAGCCACACUGGAACUGAGACACGGUCCAGACUCCUACGGGAGGCAGCAGUGGGGAAUAUUGCACAAUGGGCGCAAGCCUGAUGCAGCCAUGCCGCGUGUGUGAAGAAGGCCUUCGGGUUGUAAAGCACUUUCAGCGGGGAGGAAGGCGGUAAGGUUAAUAACCUUGUCGAUUGACGUUACCCGCAGAAGAAGCACCGGCUAACUCCGUGCCAGCAGCCGCGGUAAUACGGAGGGUGCAAGCGUUAAUCGGAAUUACUGGGCGUAAAGCGCACGCAGGCGGUCUGUCAAGUCGGAUGUGAAAUCCCCGGGCUCAACCUGGGAACUGCAUUCGAAACUGGCAGGCUAGAGUCUUGUAGAGGGGGGUAGAAUUCCAGGUGUAGCGGUGAAAUGCGUAGAGAUCUGGAGGAAUACCGGUGGCGAAGGCGGCCCCCUGGACAAAGACUGACGCUCAGGUGCGAAAGCGUGGGGAGCAAACAGGAUUAGAUACCCUGGUAGUCCACGCCGUAAACGAUGUCGAUUUGGAGGUUGUGCCCUUGAGGCGUGGCUUCCGGAGCUAACGCGUUAAAUCGACCGCCUGGGGAGUACGGCCGCAAGGUUAAAACUCAAAUGAAUUGACGGGGGCCCGCACAAGCGGUGGAGCAUGUGGUUUAAUUCGAUGCAACGCGAAGAACCUUACCUGGUCUUGACAUCCACAGAACUUUCCAGAGAUGGAUUGGUGCCUUCGGGAACUGUGAGACAGGUGCUGCAUGGCUGUCGUCAGCUCGUGUUGUGAAAUGUUGGGUUAAGUCCCGCAACGAGCGCAACCCUUAUCCUUUGUUGCCAGCGGUCCGGCCGGGAACUCAAAGGAGACUGCCAGUGAUAAACUGGAGGAAGGUGGGGAUGACGUCAAGUCAUCAUGGCCCUUACGACCAGGGCUACACACGUGCUACAAUGGCAUAUACAAAGAGAAGCGACCUCGCGAGAGCAAGCGGACCUCAUAAAGUAUGUCGUAGUCCGGAUUGGAGUCUGCAACUCGACUCCAUGAAGUCGGAAUCGCUAGUAAUCGUAGAUCAGAAUGCUACGGUGAAUACGUUCCCGGGCCUUGUACACACCGCCCGUCACACCAUGGGAGUGGGUUGCAAAAGAAGUAGGUAGCUUAACCUUCGGGAGGGCGCUUACCACUUUGUGAUUCAUGACUGGGGUGAAGUCGUAACAAGGUAACCGUAGGGGAACCUGCGGUUGGAUCACCUCCUUACC
rnacentral:rRNA from 1 species